rnacentral:rRNA from 1 species
CCUACGGGAGGCAGCAGUGAGGAAUAUUGGUCAAUGGACGAGAGUCUGAACCAGCCAAGUAGCGUGAAGGAUGACUGCCCUAUGGGUUGUAAACUUCUUUUAUAUGGGAAUAAAAUGUUCCACGUGUGGGUUUUUGUAUGUACCAUAUGAAUAAGGAUCGGCUAACUCCGUGCCAGCAGCCGCGGUAAUACGGAGGAUCCGAGCGUUAUCCGGCUUUAUUGGGUUUAAAGGGAGCGUAGGUGGAUUGUUAAGUCAGUUGUGAAAGUUUGCGGCUCAACCGUAAAAUUGCAGUUGAAACUGGCAGUCUUGAGUACAGUAGAGGUGGGCGGAAUUCGUGGUGUAGCGGUGAAAUGCUUAGAUAUCACGAAGAACUCCGAUUGCGAAGGCAGCUCACUGGACUGCAACUGACACUGAGGCUCGAAAGUGUGGGUAUCAAACAGGAUUAGAUACCCCUGUAGUC